rnacentral:rRNA from 1 species
AGUUGGGCACUUUAAAGAGACUGCCGGUGUUAAACCGGAGGAAGGUGGGGAGUGACGUCAAGUCCUCAUGGCCUUUAUGCUUAGGGCGUACACACGUGCUACAAUGGGUGGUACAAAGAGAAGCCAACUCGCGAGGUGGAGCCAACCCCAAAAGACCGGUCUCAGUUCGGAUUGGAGUCUGCAACUCGACUCCAUGAAGUUGGAAUCGCUAGUAAUCGUGGAUCAGCAUGCCACGGUGAAUACGUUCCCGGGCCUU